AAAGUUUUCCAUUGUUUCUUUUCAGCAAUUGCCAGGAAUAACAUCAAGCACCAUAGGGAGAUGCAGAUCCUGCAGGACAUAUAUCAACCCUUUUGUUGCUUUCCUUGAUCAAAGGAGGUGGAAAUGCAAUCUGUGCUACAGAGUUAAUGAUGUUCCUGAAGAAUUUAUGUAUAAUCCUCUGCCACGAUCUUACGGAGAGCCACACAAACGUCCAGAGGUCCAAAAUUCUACAGUGGAAUUCAUUGCUUCCUCUGACUACAUGGUAAAA